UGUACGUGUUCUGACUUCCAGUCUCUGAUGGUUUGACGCCUGCCUCUGGAUGUGUUUGUUGUGCUGACUGGCAACCUGGAGUCUGCUUAUUGGUCCCAGUUCUUUUGUUAGCUGUUAGAGGUGCUGGAUGUACUGGGAUGGAAAGUCAGCAUGCCAUAUAAUGGUGCCAUGUUGGCAGUAACAGACAGAUGCAGCAAACUGUGGAGAUACUUACAAAGGUUUUGGAUGUUGUUUGGCCAUUCAUUACACUUGAAUCACUCUGUAUCCAGUUUGGUCCAGUAGUUUCUAACAGAUUAAAGGAAGAAUUGGCCAUAUAUUAAAGAAAUGGAUCUACCAGCAGGCCCGCAGACCUGCAGCGCAGCGACGGCACCAUGCCAACCUGUGCCGGGCUCCCACCACAGCCUCAUCCAAAACGCUUAAUCAAAAGGGACACUCUCCCCACUUGGUCCCGCAUGAAAAGGAAGCUGUUGGCCCACGCUGUGCACCUUGGCAGCUCGACAGAACAACCCAGAUUGGUCUAAUAUCCACUACGCUGCGAGGACAUUGGAGAGGAGGCCUGUGAUACAAUCUGCAUUUUCUAGCAGGUGCCAUUUCCAAGGGAACUGUUCAACAAGGUGUCCGAGGCUGUGAUGAAGCAUAAAACCUGCAGCCUACAGGAACGAGUCACCGCAUCGGAGACGAAAAAUGAGUCUGUGGAACUUCUCCGGAUGUAUGGGGCUACCUAAAGGAGGGCAAAGCCUUCCACUGGUGGUUCUAACUAAAUUCGAGUGCUACUACAUCCAUAAAGCACACGCCAUGGCUGCUCAGAAAGGGCUAACUGCUUCCCCUGCUUCCUGUCUACUGCCAGUGUUUGGUUUGUCUGUUCUGGGCUACUGUAGAAACAUCUGUGGAUAAAAACAGCUCAUUCUAAGGUAAGGGAAACACAACUAUUCUUAUGUCCAUGCGAUUAUACACUAAGGAAAACAAAUCUCUGAAUAUUAAAUUAAAAUUCUGCCAAUAGAUCCUCUCAAAUGAUCCUUUUUCUCAGAAUACAGAUUAUAAAAGAGUGUCUGGAUCGUCUCUAUUAAUGACACUUGAGCUCCACAGUCUAUAUAGCAGCCUUCAGAUUGUUUUUUUUAAUGAGAGAUUUAGAUGCAUAUUUAUAAAAGCAGCUUGAAAAAUGAGAAUGGUUAAUGAUAAGCUAGUUAGAGUCAGUUGAGUGUAACUUCAUUAUCUAUAACUUUUAUUUCUUAAGACCUCAUAUUAUGUAAAUAGUUAGGUCAUGGAUAUGCAAAUGAGUACAUGGCUUAAUCUAGUGAAAAGACAUAUUAAUGAAGACAAAACAUGUUAUUAUUUGAGCUUUAGAGGUGAUGCAAGGUGAGGUUAGCUGUUCCAGUAUGCUUCCAGUCUCUAUGCAAAGCUAAGCUAACUGUCUUCUUAUAUUCUAGCUUCAUACUUAACAGACAGAACUGGUUUGUGCCUGUUCUGUAAAAAGUUGUCCCAGAUUUCACCACAAUUAAAACAAUAAUUAUAAAAUUAUACUUGUUUUCCGCACUUACAUAGAUAUUUAUCAUCCUCUGUCCCACACCUAACCCCCUAUAAAAGCAUAAACAAUGCACCACAUGUCUGAAUUCAACACUGAUUGGUCUGUAUGCGUGUCAAUCAAUCGUUGUUAGGGCUGUCAUAGGCAUUGCAGCUCUUUCCGAACCUGUCAGUGUGCUCACGGUACUCCUCUGGAAAGUACCUGACAGAAUGCUGAAUUCAUGGUGUCCACGGUGUUGAAAGGUGCACACAGUAGGUGUGCUAAGUGCUGAAAUAUGGCCCUAUGGUGUAUGCAUGUGUGGUACACUUUUAAGGGUCCCGGUUUGGAGGUUUGAAAAUAUGGGCACGCUAUAUCAAUCUUCUCAUAUAACUCUCAAUAUUCAUCCCUGCCUUCUGGACAGCGAAAAACUCGACCUCUCAAAGGAACCAGCUGGUUUCAGACAUUCCCUGGCCUCAAGUGUCCAAAUUGGCUGCCAUGUGAAUAAAGUCGACGCCUUAACUUUUACAAACAGUAAUCCAAAGGAUGGUCCGGGAGGAAAUGUGCAGGGUUUGGUAAUGCUGCAGACACAAGCAGGAUUUUAUACUGUCUCACAAUAAAGUCUGAGUUAAGUUUUAUACCCAUGAGCACAUUCAUCAUACAUUACUCUCUCCAUAUAGUCGAUCUCCAUUACCUGUGUUUCCUCCAAAGGAUCCGCUGCUGCUGCAGUGGCUGAUUUGCCCUAUAGAGCCCGGGCCUCCUCGCUCAGUGGGAGGAUGAGAAAGAAUUGGUGCAAACCUCAUCAUUUGUCUGCUAUAUAUAAUUCUUUAGUGCUGGUAACUCUUAUGACCUGAGCAACAUUCAUAGGGGACAAUAAAAGGAAACGGUGGGAUGCUUCUCUUUCUCCCCUCCCCACCGCAGCGCUCUUUCAUCUCUCCUUCCCACAAGGCUGAUUCACCACUUGUGACCCCUGCGGCUGCCUCGUUGAAAAUAGACAACAAAGUGUCUGAGAUGAAAACCAGUGGGCAGUUGUAGGCUAGAUUUCUGCUCAGCUUUAAGUUGGCCGGGCAGUGGCGAGCACUCUUGCUGAGCUGACACUUCCAUUUGUCUGGAUUCUAGUGGUGUAAAAGGGAGCAGGCUGGCACUGCCAUGCACCCACAUCUGUGAGCAUUAACAACACAGGCCUGUCAGACCUUUUUAUUUAUGGAAGACGUUGGAUGCCUAAAUUAAAAAACUGUAAUUAUAAUAAUUAAUUAACCGCCUGUUAAAUAAUAAUGGCCAAAGCGGUAAUGAUGGAUGAUGUGAAACGUUACUUACAAAUCACUCGCUCCUCUCCCACUUCACGCCUCUCCUGUACCUGCCUUGUUUUUUCAUUGUGAUAUGUAAUUUGAAUAAAAAGGAAAUCACAACACAGAAAACAAAGUGAGGAGUAGUAACGUUAUGGACAGCAAACUGUAUCCACCGUGUAGUCUCACAUAGAGCCCAAUCCCAAUCUCAUGGAUUUAUGGACAUCGAGGCGUGUUCCCGUUAUGUCCACAAGGCCUUAGAGCUGUCCUACAGUUGUCAAGUUGUGACGUUAAAGAAGGGGCUAACAGAGGAAGCCCCCAAACACGUGUGAAACGCACAAUUGUAGGCUACGUAACACUUUUUGCAAUAUGAGGGUAAUAUGAACUUUAUUUAUACAGCAAAAACUAAGUUAUAGAGUACUUUAUAUGGUUGAACUGGGAUUAAAACAUUUAAAGACUGAUGCAUUUAAAUCAGACAAUUAAAAUGAUAAAAAAAAAUAAAAUGAAGUAAAACCCAAAAAAUACUAAUAAUAAAACAGAUAAGACAUGUUGGCAAUAUAUUCUAUGUCUACCUUGCGGACAUCUGCUAGCAUUAGCUUAUCCUCCUCCAUUAAACUCGUGGAUGUAUGAAGAGAGCUGGGUACGGUGCGGCCACUCAGCUUUACUGCCAUUUUCAAUUUGUCCCAGUGGAGUCAGCAAAGCUGGAAGCUAGAAAACGUUUUUGGCUCAUGGGCUCAGCAAUUUUCACUUUAGUGAAUGGGUGCAGUGUUGGAGUCCAGUAUCCAGCUCAUAUAAAACCUCCAUGGGGAUGACGAGAUCUGCCCAUGGUUCCACCCUCAGGCUCAGUUGGUUGUUUUCCAGUUUGGCGUUGACAAAGCGUGUUUAUCUAAAAAAAUAGGUUUCCUUCUACCUUCUCGUGAAAAACAAAUUAUGGGCAGGUCUGUGCUGCUUUCUUCUGGAAAUACACGUCUUUACUUUGUUUUGUGUGGCAUGGAAAAUGAUCAGCAUCCCAGAGACUGAUGGUCAUCUCACAUCUCCAGCCUGGUUCAGAAAGCAUCCUGACUGGAAACAUCACAAACUAGCCACAGGAUGUGCACGGCUCAGGAGAGGAGGACUCUGCAGCGGGUGAUUAAAACCGCCCACAAGAACAUUGGUACUCAGUUGCCCAGUGUGAUAUUGGUUAGGUGCCUGCAGAGCCCAAAGGAAAGUGAAAGACAGAACCCACCCAGCCACAGCCUGCUCACCCUGCUGAUAUCUGGGAAGAGGUACAGAAGCUUCCGCUGUCGUACCACCAGACUUAAAGACAGCUUCUUCCCUCCGACUGUGAGACUGGAAAAGUCUUCCUCAACAAUUCAUCAUACAAAUUGUUUAUUUUUAUUUAUAUGACUCAUUAAGUAUUUUAUAUAUAUUUAAAUUUUUAAUUUAAAGUAGCAUAAAGGGAACUUCUUUUCUUUUCCUUCAACAACCUUAUAGGGGUGUAAGAAAAUAUCGAAAUAUUGAACCCCUAACUGCGACAUAACAGUGUUGUGAAUGUAAUCUAGAGCUAUGUUCAUAGAUUAGAUUAAAAUAAAUCCCAAUAUAUCUCCCUGCUGCAUCGUAAUAUAUUGAAUCGUAACCCCGUAUUGUGAUGCAACGUAUUGUACCUCCAAAUUCCUGCCGAUACACAACCCUGCAUUGUAAAGGACAAUAAUAUAACCUUGAAUCUUCUAUAGUAUUUCCCCUUUACUGAAUCACUCAAGCUCAUUUAAAGGAAAGUUGUCCCUGAGAUGCGAGUCACCGUGGCAACGUUCAGCUCCUCCUCAUAAGCUGCAUCUCCUCUAACUGUUCUGAAAGAUUAAAGUCACUGGAUUUCAUCUCUCCUUGAUUUAUAAGCUGCCUGUGCACGCGCACAGACAGACAGACUAACAGCUGGAUCAAAGGUUUCUUUUCACCGUUUCAUCAUCUGGUUCUACAGAAUAUCUGAAGAUGUUUAUCUGAGAGCGGAGAUACAGUAAGCAUUACUGUACGCAGCAUUUUCAGUAUGCAGAGUGGUCUGGAUCCAUCCCGUCCUCUGCAGGGGAAGAUAAGAACCUCCUUCAUGAAUAAAGAUGUUUCUGCAUCCUCUCCCCUCUCUCUGUGUUCAAUAUGUACUUGUUACAGCGGCCAUUAUUUAUAGUCCCACUAAGGCCCAGAGUGGUGAGAGUGGGUCUCAUGGGGGAUUGGGAAGUGGAGCCACUGCUACCUAUAGUGGGAAAGAUAUACCACCUCACCCCCGCUGAGAACUUCGUGCUGGAAAUGAACUCAUAAAUCAAGCAGUAAAUUGAGUGUAGGGCUGUGCUUACUCAUCUCAAGAGGUCCGCUCCUCUUCCUCCACACACCCCUGCUCCUUUUUACUGAAUGACUAAUGCAAGGCCGCAACUUCUCUGGCCACGUGUUCGUCUCUUGCUCUGGUAAACUCUUAUCAAACAGUGUGGAUUUUAUUUUCAAGUAAAUAUCAUAACUCUGGCCUUGAGGCUACAGUGAGUGCAGGGAGGGGAAUAAAACUGCACUAGUCUAGCUGGGAUUCCAGAAACAAGCGCAUCAACAUCUCGUCCUACAGCUGAACUUCACUGCCUCAUUGUGAUGCCGCUGGUGAGAGCUGCCUGUCUUUACCCGGACACAGCCUGUGAGGAAGAGUCUCCCCUGCCCGCCUCAGGCUAUCCUGACAGUCACAGGCCCUGUCCGGAGGAAUUAAAAUCUCUAUUUAUCAGGACUCGACUGAAGUCGUCUGGGGACUGGCCGAGGAAAUGGCACACAGUCGGCCUCUUCCAGCAGUGGGACUCUGAUGGAGGGUUCAACACACUGGGAUGUGCCCAUGCAGGUUGUUUCUUGACAGAUUUAAAAUAAAACACUCUCAUCCCAGCUUCACACUUUGUUUCACUUUCUUUUAGUGCUGUGCCAGCAUCUGCAUUGUCCUGAAUGCGAAUCACUCUUUAAUCUUGGGCUUAAAAGACACAUCCAAAGAACAAUUUGAAGACUGAUCCUUGAAUACAAGCAGCGUACGUGCAUGUGCAAGUGUGUGGAUCCACCCUGCUGCGCGCUGCUCCCCAUUAAAGCGAGGGACUGUGUCGCCUCCUGCAGCUGCUCUCCAUCACAGCAGCAGUAGGCAGCAUCUCCUCUGACAGAGGAAGGAGGCCAGGAGGGAGCAAUCGCCAUCACUCCUCCACCAUGAAGCCACAGCGCCCGCAGAGAGCCCACAUCAGAUCUCUACUGACCUCCGUUGGUGAAAUGAUGCACGUGUUAGAGAGGAAAUCCACUGAUCACAACAUCUGCACAGAUCAGAUGUUCAAAGGUUGGCUAGUCAAAAUCACAAAGAACACCUGCGACAGGAUAUGUUGUGUGAUCUGAGUGACCUUUAACCUCUUGCUUUACAAAAACUCUUAAUAGGUAUCUCUGUAUAUUUCUAUACUCGAUAUGAUUUUCACAAUAUCCUUGAAAAAAAAUGAAGGCAACGUAAAUGUUAUAAAGUUACAUUUUAAAUCUUAUUUUGCAUUGGAAAGUAACUAACUACAUUUACUUUAAUGUACAAUAUGUAAUUUCUACUGUUGGGGGGGUCUCUGACAUCAAAACAACAACAAAAUACAACACUUGUCGAAGCAGCGUGGGAUCAUUGAGAGUUGUUAAUUUGGGAUAAUGUAAGUACACAACUCAACUAUAUAUAGAACAUAAGGUCUUGUGUUUAUAGACAUUUUAAUGUGAAAUAUUAUAUAUUACAGCUUGAAAGACAGUUUAAAUGUACCUUUUGAGUGUUUCCCUUGUCUGCUCCUUUAUACUUCUACUGCUCCACUAUUUAUCUUUCAGAAUAAGAUUUUACAUAAAUAAAUACAUGUAAAAAAAGGUUUGAGUCUAGGAAAUACGAUGCAUCUAUAGUGGCUCCCAACCUUACAAAAAUACUUACACAUUAAUGCAUCAGUAUUAAAAUUAGAAUAAUUAUUUCAUAAUAUAUUAGUCACAGGAGACAUAUUUCUGCAUAACAAGUACUUUUACUUUGAUACUUUAAGUACAUGUUGCUGAUAACCCUUCUGUACUUGUACUUAAGUAGUUUGUUAAACUAACUUUCUUGCUUUUUCUUUAAUUAAAGGUCUGAAUACUUUUUCCACCUCUGUAUAUAAUAAGGGGGUUGAAGAGUCGGAUACCAUUUCAGCCACAAGGGGGAGCCCCUACACCACACUAGCACACCUAUUUAAAUCUGUCUUUAACUUUUUUCCAUAUUCACUCGCAUCCUUGGAGCUGUGUUAGAGGUUGUGUCAGUAUUUCGGUCUGUUCUCCACUUCCGUUGUUUUUAAUUGUGUUUUUAUUUGGUUUUAAAUGAAGUGGGGACCGCCUACAACCCCGACUCCCUCAUCCCUGUUUUUUUAGUCUCCCCCAUUUCAAAGCCCAGCGGUCUGCUGCUCCCUUCCCCCCUUCUCACCGCGACCCGCGUCAAUGUGCUACAGUAACACCGGAAAUAAGGAGCAUAACCGUCAAAGUAAAGGUCUGUCUGGAAAGGCACCGUGCGUUAGUGUUACAGAUUAAAAUUAAAAUAAAUAAAAAUAGAUCUUAUAUGGCAUAACUGGCAUAACAUAUUGUAUGUAUGCAAAGUAUGAAAACCAUAUAUAUAACGUAUUAGGGGAACAUGUCAAAUACAACAAUAGAAGGAAUUAAAUGAAUGAAUGAAAAACCUCAUUAUUAAAAUACUCCAGAUCAGCAUACAGAAAAGGCAACUGUAAUCCAUUACAGUUAUAGAAGAAGAUGUA